GAACGCUGAGGCCCUGUACAAGAAGGGACAGAGACGCUGUACUUUUUGAGAAGACUCUGCUCCUUCAACAUCAGCAGUAAGAUGCUGCCAAAGUUCUACCAAUCGGUGGUAGCCAGUGCCAUCUUCUUCGCUGUUGUGUGCUGGGGCAGCAGGGCGAAGGCUGCAGAUGCCAAUAGGUUCAACAAACUCAUCAGGAAGGCUGGCUCCGUCCUGGGGGUUGAGUUGAAUUAAUGGGAGGUGGUCUUGGAGGGGACGAUGCUCCUCAAACUGUGUAGUAUCCUGGACAAUACAGCUCACCCCCUCCAUGACACACUGGUCAAUCUGAGGAGUACCUUCAGCAACAGACUGGUUCCACCAAGAUGCAGUACAGAACCCCACAGGAGAUCCUUCUUCCCUGUGGCUAUCAAGCUGUACAACUCCUUCCCCUUCUGUCGUGGGUUUGACUGAGACUGACUCCACUCCCCACCAAUCUUUGCACAUCCCCAAUCCUUUCUACUCGUCACUUUAAUUUGAUGUUUCAUGUAUUUUGUGUUUUUAUGACUGUUGACAGAUCAAUUUCCCUCAUGGGAUAAAUAAAGUUCUAUCGUAUCGUAUUGAAAUAUGGCUGCUGAUCGUGCUUAUGCCAUAGCUUGAAGCAUUGCGUGCUUGUUUACGGAUCCUCAUAAUAUCGAUAAGGUAGUAAAGAUUCACUUCUCAAAUUCGUACGUUUAUCAAACAUUUUUUGUAAUGUGUAGAGCGCAAAGCGCUGGAGUACUGUAACUCAAUGGAUCAGGCUGCAUAUCUGGAGGAUAUAGAUAGGUGACGUUUCAGGUCGGGACUCAUCUUCAGAAGAUUUCAGCUUUCUAUUUCCAUUUUCUGCAAUGCAUCAGCCCAGUUGCAUUUAUACUGCUUCUUGAAAAGUUUGGGGCAAUGGUGUUAAAACCUUGAGACAAGAAUCUGGAAUGAUAUGAACCAUUCCAGGAAUGUAUGAAAUUCUGCAGGAUUCCUUAGAUGCUUGAUAUUCAUCAUUGUAUUAUCUGGACAACUGUUGGUACCACGGCAAAUUUUGUAAACCUGAUGGUCCUGAUUCUUUCAACUGUACAUCAAGCUCUACUAAAUUCGUAAAGAAUAGUUUUAAUAACAAACUAUAAUUUAAAGGCACUUUAAGUCAAUGCAGCACAAUCUUAUUGUUUUAUCUGUCUUAAGUACAACUAUUAUCAAAGUAAUCAAAUUGCUGUAAAUAAUUUUUAGCAAACUCUCUUUCUAAUUUCUCAGCCACUUCGUCUGCUUGGGUCUUUAUGGAAUAAGAAUCUGGCCUUGGACUGCAAUAGACUGAUUGAAUGAUGGUGUCUGAAUGGCAAAGUAUUUCAAAUGAAUUUGGUUCUUUUGUCAGAAAUCCAGUGUCUGCAGUUUUUUGAACAAACGGUAACCUCCCGGGAUGUGAUACUUGGUUAAUGUUUUGAGAAAACCUCGGCUACAAGUGAAAUGGAAUCAUUUAUGAAUUCUUGCAAACUUGCAAACCUCGGCUGCAAGUGAAAUGGAGUCAUUUAUGAACAACACAUCUCACUUGUGGAUCACAAAUCAUAGACUGGAAACUCAUGCUUGCACAAACUGAACGGGUUGGUAACUUAAUUGGCCACCAUAUGUCGCUUCUAGUGUGAAGGUGAGUGGUAGAAUCUAGGAUUAGUCAUUGUCAUUGUAAAUUAUCAUUGUGGACUUUGUGGGUCAGAAGGCCUCUUCCCACGCUGUAUCUCUUUCUAACCUUAUGACUCCAAGCAGCAGACAUGCGAAGAGUGUCUCUGUAAAUGGAGUAUUCUGAGCAAAAUAUUUUGUGAAUGUACUCUGAUUGAUUCAUGAGAAAUUAAGAUUAAGAGGGGAAUCUUAAUUUUAAUUGAUUCAUUUAGUGGAGCAUGUAUCAUGAGUUUGGAAAGGAAAUGCAAAAAUAUAUGCAGUGUAAUUCACUUGAGAAACAGGUAAAAGACAGGUGAAGAGUGAGUAGUGGGAUGGCAAUCAUGGUGAGAUAAGGAAAAAUGCCAAUUUUCCAAAAUUUCCAGCAAUCAGUCUAUCCAUUUGUACAUUGAAACUGUAAUCUGCCCCUAUUUGUGAAAGAAGAAAUGGAACCAAUGAUAAUAUUUAAAGAGUGUUGGACAUGUAGGUGCAUAAGAAUGAGUUCGACAGAUGUGAGCCAAAUACAGGCAAAUUGGACUAGCUCAGGUUAGGAGAUUAUCGGCAUGGACAGGUCGGGCUGAGUGACCUGUUUCUGCACUCUAUGACUCUAUGGCUAUAUGUUUGAAAUGACUCA